rnacentral:misc_RNA from 1 species
GGAGGGUUCUGGACGUCAUAUUUAGACACUGCUACUGGAUCUGAUACUUUCCUGAUGCUGAUGGAAAGUCGUCAAACUGUGCUUUUGUUUUCUCAACUGUCAAUGUUGGUGUAGGACAACCACUCAAUUCGCUUGAAAUUUAAGCUUUCUAAAGAACAUGGAGGUGGAGGUGGAGGUAGAAUACGAUCCUAAAAUAUCACUUCAUUUUGAAAAUCUGUUAGUCAUAAUUCAUUUUUUGCGCAAAUGAUACGAUAAAGUACUCCUAAUAUUAUCCUCUCAAUUUGUUUCUGGGCUCACCUUCUGCUCGACGUUCCAAUUCAUAAAAUAUAAAACCCAACUCCUUCAGCCCCGAAAAAAUCGUUUGCCUCACUUCUUCCGUGCAUCUCCCAAACUUGCUCUUUCAACUUUUCAAGCAGAAGAGCCAAAGCCUAUCCAUGGAUGUGUAUGAAAAGAUCAAUAAGGCAGUUAUUGUCUGCUCUGCUAUCCAUGCAUUUCGUAACAAACCAGGUUCUUUAAAACAUCCGAAAUCAGCAGGUGCCAGCCCAGACACGCCCCAUAAAAGGGAGGCUGCAGAUGAUGUAGUUCCUAUCAGCUUUGAUUACUCAAGCCAGCCUCAGCCAGCUACUCCACUUGAAUCCGCUCAAAAGAACACCCAAAUAACCAAAGUUGCAUCCAAGAUAGAACCUGAAGCUCCACCAGCAAACACCGACAGUCCUGGCCAAGUAGCCAAGUCUAAUUCCAAGGUGGGAUCCUCUCAAUUUGCCAUGCUAGAAGGUAAGAGAUUACACAUUGAAGACAAUUUCACUUACUAUAUCGAUCGUGUAAGGGCUAGAAUGAGGACUAUAUCCAAUGUUGGUGAUCUUUCAAAUGUUGACAAUGUGUCACAUGUCAAUGUUGGAAAUGAUGCCUCAGGAAGAGAUGAGUUCUCGGAAUAUAUUGAUCGUGCCAGGAUUAAGAUCAGAACUACAUCAAAUAUUGGCGGUGGAAACUUUCCAGCAUCUUAAAUGAAGAGCAAGAAGCUUUGAACAGUAGGACAAAUGAUAUUUAUAUUAAAAGGGUUUUUAUGAAUAAUGAUAUCUGCCUUGCAUUAGCCAUAAAUCUGUGCUGAAUUAUAAACAACUAGAAUUAUGCCCAAAUCGAAAAUAAUACAAAUAGCAUUAAAGUCCUAUUUUUUCUAAACUUUCUUUGAUAUUCUUCCAUUUUUCUUUCAAUCUCUUCCCAUAUAUCUAAUCUCUCUGUUUUCUCAUAUUUCAUAUUUGGGAAAGUGUAUGGAUUGUUGAAUCUUUCUUUUGCGGUUUUAUUUUUAAACUAAGAGACUUAAGAAUGCUUCUUUAUAUUGCUUUAUGCA